AGGAGAACCUGCCCCCUCCCCCGGGAUAGCCGCCCGAAAGGACGGGUAAUACCGGAUACCCCGGGGUGCCGCAUGGCACCCCGGCUAAAGCCCCGACGGGAGGGGAUGGCUCCGCGGCCCAUCAGGUAGACGGCGGGGUGACGGCCCACCGUGCCGACAACGGGUAGCCGGGUUGAGAGACCGACCGGCCAGAUUGGGACUGAGACACGGCCCAGACUCCUACGGGAGGCAGCAGUGGGGAAUCUUGCGCAAUGGGGGGAACCCUGACGCAGCGACGCCGCGUGCGGGACGGAGGCCUUCGGGUCGUAAACCGCUUUCAGCAGGGAAGAGUCAAGACUGUACCUGCAGAAGAAGCCCCGGCUAACUACGUGCCAGCAGCCGCGGUAAUACGUAGGGGGCGAGCGUUAUCCGGAUUCAUUGGGCGUAAAGCGCGCGUAGGCGGCCCGGCAGGCCGGGGGUCGAAGCGGGGGGCUCAACCCCCCGAAGCCCCCGGAACCUCCGCGGCUUGGGUCCGGUAGGGGAGGGUGGAACACCCGGUGUAGCGGUGGAAUGCGCAGAUAUCGGGUGGAACACCGGUGGCGAAGGCGGCCCUCUGGGCCGAGACCGACGCUGAGGCGCGAAAGCUGGGGGAGCGAACAGGAUUAGAUACCCUGGUAGUCCCA
rnacentral:rRNA from 1 species